rnacentral:rRNA from 1 species
GGGUCAGUAGGUUGGUCGUGCCACCGGUACGUACUGGUCUCACUGAUUCCUCCUUCCUGAAGAACCGUAAUGCCAUUAAUUCGGUGUUGCGGGUAAACAGGACUGUUACUUUGAAAAAAUUAGAGUGUUUAAAGCAAGCUAACGCUUGAAUACAUUAGCAUGGAAUAAUGAAAUAGGACGAUCGAUCCUAUUUUGUUGGUUUCUAGGAUUGACGUA